CUCGCCGCCGCGCCGGGGGACCCGACGCGGGACGAGACGAAAUGUGGCCGCUUCGCGGCUGAAUCGCAAG
rnacentral:ncRNA from 1 species